rnacentral:rRNA from 1 species
AUUGAACGCUGGCGGCAUGCCUUACACAUGCAAGUCGAACGGUAACAGGUCUUCGGACGCUGACGAGUGGCGAACGGGUGAGUAAUACAUCGGAACGCGCCCAGUCGUGGGGGAUAACUACUCGAAAGAGUAGCUAAUACCGCAUACGAUCUGAGGAUGAAAGCGGGGGACCUUCGGGCCUCGCGCGAUUGGAGCGGCCGAUGGCAGAUUAGGUAGUGGGUGGGAUAAAAGCUUACCAAGCCGACGAUCUGUAGCUGGUCUGAGAGGACGACCAGCCACACGGGGACUGAGACACGGCCCAGACUCCUACGGGAGGCAGCAGUGGGGAAUUUUGGACAAUGGGCGAAAGCCUGAUCCAGCAAUGCCGCGUGCAGGAUGAAGGCCUUCGGGUUGUAAACUGCUUUUGUACGGAACGAAAAAGCUCCUUCUAAUACAGGGGGCCCAUGACGGUACCGUAAGAAUAAGCACCGGCUAACUACGUGCCAGCAGCCGCCGUAA